GACGGAAGGUGCAAGCGUUGCUCGGAAUUACUGGGCGUAAAGCGCGCGUAGGUGGUUUGUUAAGUUGGAUGUGAAAUCCCCGGGCUCAACCUGGGAACUGCAUCCAAACUGGCAAGCUAGAGUAGGGCAGAGGGUGGAUGGAAUUUCCUGUGGUAAGUCCGGUGAAAUGCGUAGAUAUAGGAAGGAACACCAGUGGCGAAGCGACCACCUGGGCUCAUACUGACACUGAGGUGCGAAAGCGUGGGGAGCAAACAGG
rnacentral:rRNA from 1 species